UAAUGCUUGGGAAUCUAGCUUAUGGAGGGGGAUAACUACGGGAAACUGUAGCUAAUACCGCGUAGUAUCGAGAGAUGAAAGUGUGGGACCUUCGGGCCACAUGCCAUAGGAUGAGCCCAAGUGGGAUUAGGUAGUUGGUGAGGUAAAGGCUCACCAAGCCGACGAUCUCUAGCUGGUCUGAGAGGAUGACCAGCCACACUGGGACUGAGACACGGCCCAG
rnacentral:rRNA from 1 species